rnacentral:rRNA from 1 species
GAGACUCUGUGCGCGUGCAUAUCAAUAAGCGGAGGAAAAGAAACUAACUAGGAUUCCCUUAGUAACGGCGAGUGAAGCGGGAAGAGCUCAAAUUUGAAAUCUUCAAGGGUUUCCCUUUACGAAUUGUAGUUUAAAGAAGUGUUUUCUGUUGGAGUUUCGGUAAAAGUUCUUUGGAAUAGGACAUCAUAGAGGGUGAGAAUCCCGUAUUUGACCGUUACUUUCCAGCUGUGUGAUACACUUUCAAAGAGUCGGAUUGUUUGGGAAUGCAGUCCAAAAUGGGUGGUAAAUUUCAUCUAAAGCUAAAUAUUGGCGAGAGACCGAUAGCGAACAAGUACCGUGAGGGAAAGAUGAAAAGAACUUUGAAAAGAGAGUUAAACAGUACGUGAAAUUGUCAAAAGGGAAGCGUUUGACACCAGUGUUGUUUAGUUGAAAAUCAAUUCAAUAGUUUUUGAUUCUAAGUAGUAUUGACUUCAUCAGCUUGCUGCUUUCUUCUCAGAAAUUAUUGAAUGCACUUUUCAGUUAACAAGUCAACAUCAAUUUCUUUUGUUGUAAAAGGGUAAGAGGAAGGUGGCUUGCGCUUCGGCUCAAGUGUUUAUAGCCUUUUAUCUCUGCAAUCGGAGAGAUUGAGGUCUGCAGCGUAGAUCCUUCGGGGUUAGAUACAUUGGUGCUAAGCUAUAGCCUUGUAUAGACAACUUGUUGACUAUGCUCAGUCAUGUAGCUUACUCGCUGAUGCUAUUUUACCUACGCUUAGGAUGUUGACAGCAGUAUAGACUGU